CUCCACCGGCACGGAGGGUUCCAGGCCUCGGCCCUCGCUAAGGGGCGGCGCCCAGGCCCCCCUCGCUCUCCCCUCUCCGUUCCUCCCUCUUUCAGCUCUCCCUCCCACCCCUCCCUCCUUCUCCCCUCUCCCACUCCUGGUGACGCCGCCCUCUGUCCCUCUGGGCCUCCUAGUGGCCCCGCCCCUCCCCUUCUAACCCCCACCUGGUCCCUCCCCUCCCACUUGGGGACCCCACUCUCCCUAGCCUCCCCUUAAUUCCCCUCCCGCUCCUGGGGACCUCGCGCCACUGUCCUCGUCCCUCCUCCCCUCCCACCAUCCCCAUCCCCGAGGCAGACCCCUUCUGGGGACCCCCCCACUCCCCUCAACGCCCCCUUCCCACUCCUGGGGACCCCACCCUGUGCCCACCCCCGCCCCCUGCAGCCCCUCGCACCGCACGUCACCGCUCGUCCCACCUCCGGCCCAGCCAAUCGGUCGUCUGCUCAGCUCCUGGCCCGCUUCCCUCGGGAAACGCGUGGCCGGAGACGCACCGUCGAGUCCCGGGUAGGGAGUAACCGCACGGGGUGGGGGCCGCUCCGGGUGCAGAGGGGACUAGAGGAUGGGGUGGGAGAGGGCCACACAUCCCUCGUUUAGCAGAUAUGGGCCAGCUCGCAUUAGCCACGUGUUAUAGCACGCUGGGACUCGGACCACGCUUCCUAGAGAUGGCCUCACCCGCUGAGACCGAGCUGGGCGAGGGCAGCGUGGAGGGGCGCGGCGACGCGCCCGAGCUGGGGGCUGCGCCGUGGGUCUCAGAGCCAAACCCGAGCACGCUGAGGCACAAGGGGACGUCUCCCUGUCAGCCCCGGGUGCGGGUGCGUGCACUCCUCUUUUCCAGUGUGGCUGGUUGCGGAGAGGAAAAACAGGAAGGCGGCUUGGACGGAGGCCCAGUUGUGGGAGAGGAUGUUCCGAUGGCGCUGGGGGGCUGGGGGCGCCGUGGCGCCUAGCCUUCUGCGGCGAGAAUUGCAUUCUUCAAAGAAAGCCAAAGAUAGAAAAGCCUUGGGAGCUCUGCUGGAAAGGCACUCGCCUGCGAGGCCACAUUCCCGGGCUCCGAGCCGCAGGCCACCCCCGAACAAAAGGCCCCGAGAAAAGACAGGUUCACCCACGUUGGACUGUGUGUCUGGAUUCCACUCCUUUCUAAACUCGGAAUAGUGUUCCAGGGCUCAAGCCUCCUGACAGUCUUUGGCUCCUGGCAGCUGGGAGAGAAAGAGAAGAGCUACAAGAGUCUGUUUGGGAGGGACACAGAGAAGAGCCGGCUUCCUGCUUGUCCCUUGAGGGCAGUGAACUGAGCAGUGUGGGAGCCGCAGUGUGCCCGGUCCAUUCCCCAAGCAUCACAGGGCAGCUGAGAGCUUCCAGCAGAUAGAAGACCUCUCUCUCUCUGCCUGCACUGGCCAGUGGCUUACCUGACUCAUGUAGUGAGUAUGUUCUGUUUCCAGUGUAACUUCCUAAAAAGCGACAUGAAAGGAGACGUUGAAACUCCAUUAGGGAAAAUGAUCCUUUUCCUUUUAGAGACCAGACUGUGCUGUUAAUAUAGUUGAAUUCAAAGACAGUAAAAGGUAAAAAUUAGCCAGUCCCACCCAAAUGACUACCACCCAAAUUCCAACUGAGAAGACCUACUGGGAUUUGUGCCCAAUAAAAAGCUGCCCAUGCACUGUUCUCAGGCUCACCCAGCCGAUUUUCUUUCUUUUCUUUUCUUUUUUUUUUUUUUUUUAAGAUUUUAUUUAUUUAUUUGAGAGGUGAGUUACUGACAGAGAGAGGGAGAGACGGAGAGAGAAGUCUUCCCUUUGCUGAUUUACUCCCCAAAUGGCUGCAACUGUCGGAGCUGGGCUGAUCUGAAGCCUGGAGCCCCUUCCGGGUCUCCCACAUGGGUGCAGGGGCCCAUCUUCCUCUGCUGACCCUGGCCCUCAGCAGGGAGCUGACCUACCUGAUUUUCUAGCGUGAGAGUGAAUAUGAAGCUCUGACACCACUGUCUGUGCGUUCGGUUCCUGGCUCUGCCCUGGGCGACUGGGAGGCCUUGCCUCAGUGACCUCACUUGGCAAAGCAAGGGCUCGCUUGUUAAAAGAAGCAUCAAUAUAUGGGAUAGACUGAGAAAUAGUGUCCAACUCGUGCCGAGGGCUCAUACACGUGAACUCCUUAUCGUAAUGAAGUGGUGGCUCAUUCCAUGAGGGUCCUGGGUCUCCACUCCAAGCUCUUAAACACAAGGCUUAUGGCUGUCUCUGAGGUCCUCCCUAGAUCUGAAAUUGGGUUCAUGAUGUACUCACAGCAAGUUUGAGCUCAUCACCGUGCCAAGUUCUGUCCUAUAAUUGCCGCCAGGACAUCGUCCUCAUUUAUUCAUAAGACCUACGCAUCCCCAUCAGCCAGAAGACAUUGAACCAGGGAUUUGUUUCAACAAGCAGCAAAGUCAGGGCUGUUGCUCAUUUAAUGACGAAACAAGAGGAGCAUAGGGAUAUGCUAUGGUUUGGACUUGGGUAUGCCCCUAAACCUCCUUUUUUACGCCCACCUAGCAUCGGGUGCUUUGUUACAGCAGCACAAAAGGGACACAGACAGAACAAAACUUUGAACGUCUCUCUGUGUCUCCUUCCAAAGAAUUUAAGUCCUUACCAGGGAUGAAUUCUUGCCACCUAGCUGGGACCAUGGCAGCCAGGCCAUGCAGCUCCUCAGCUCUUGCUGAAUGUGGAACCUGAGGGCUAGUCCCAGGACCCCUGCUCGUCUUAAUCCACAUUCUCUUCUCCAGUGUCUCGUCCCAUGACAUGUGCUGACAUCCCAUCUAUUACAGUGCUCACAGCUCCCAAAUUAACAUGUGCAUCCCCGGCCCCGCCCUUGAACCCCAGGUCUGUACUCAGCUGCCUGCUGGCUCUUCCGCUGGGUGCCCACCAGGCAUUCCAAGUGCCAGAUAGGAAAGGAGCUGUUGCUUUCUACAACCCCUUGCCUGGGCAUCAGUAAAUGACACCGGUGUGCACUCAGGGUUCUCCCCAGAAAGCAGGGAGUCAUCAACUCCCCCAGGCUGUCUUGUUGGCUCCAUCUCCAGAAUUUAUCCCAGAUGACUGUACUCCACCUCCGUCCUUGCCCCCACUCCGAUGCAAGCCAGGCCUAUUACAACAAACUCCUCACCCAUUCUCUGCUUCUACUCUUUCCAGUAAGGGAUGCAUUCUUCCCGUGGCAGCCAGGAUGAUGGCUUGAGGACCUAGUCCAUUCCCUCCCACGCUAGAAGCUCAGUGAUGAGACCCCUUACUCUCAGAAUAGACACGAAAAUCCUCAGGAUGGCCAACCUGGUGUUACCUUACUCCUGUUCCUCCAUCUUGUCUUUUUUUUUUUUUUUUAAUGUUUAUUUGCAGUGACUUGAAAGGCAGAGUGACAGAAAGAGAGAGAGGAGAUAUCUUCAUCUACUGGUUUACUCCCUAAAUGCCCACAACAGCCAGGGCUCGGUCCGAUCAAAGCCAGGAGCCCAGAACUCCAUCGGGGUCUCCACUUUGGUGGCAGCAGCCCAAGCAUUUGAGCCAUCAUCUGUUGCCUCCCUGAAACAGGGGUGCUGGGGCUGGAAGCAGGCACUGCAGGAGGGGAGGAGGCAUUCCUGGUCCUCAGUCAAGUAGGGGACUAAGGGGCCUGGCAGAUGUGACUCAGGUAAAGACUCUGAGAUGGGGCGCAGUCCUCAGUUAUCCGGGAGGACCCUGUUCACUGCAAGUGCUUCUCUCUCUAAGCCAGAGGUAGAGGGAGGCGGACACACACGGAGAAUGUGUGCAGACGGAGGCAAAGGCAGGGGUGAUGCAACCACAAGCCAGGGCCUCCUGGAGCCACCAGAAGCUGGAAGAGUCAAGGAAAGCACCAUCCCUAGGGCCUCUGGAGAGAGCACAGCCCUGCUUACACUUGGAUUUCAGACUUCAAGCCUCCCAAACUGUGAGGAAGUCAAGUUCCUGUUGUCUUAAGUCUGUAAGCUUGUGACGGUAUGUUCGGCAGCCACAGGAAGCUAACACACACCCAUAAGCCAGGCUUGUUGCUGCCUCAGGGCCUUUGCACUGCAUUCCUUGUCAGUCUCACACCUCUGCAUAGCUGUCUUCAGAUGCCAGUAUAAGUUUAGGCCUUCUCCCCUCACGGAGACGUUCUCGGGUCCCAUGACAUCUCCUGCAAGGCCCUUAUCCCUCUACGACAUCCCCCUAUAAAUGUUCUCCAUUCCACAUAUCACUGAUAUUUUCUUACAAAUUCUCUUAUUGCUGUUAUCACUGGUAUCUUACCAUCAACAAACAAAUUAGACAUAAAUACAGCAAGGGGUAGAAUGCCUUCGCCUUUUUCCAUACGUGUCUGCGCCUGCUCUAGUCCACGUGCGCAGGGGGUUUUUCGUCUUGUUCAAGGCUGGACCCCCAGUGUCUGGGGCACUGCUGUGCGAGUUCUCAUUGUUCUGCCAAAGCAGAAUUCUACUGACACAGGGGCUUCAGCAACAAAAAUUUACCCUCACGGCCCUAGAGGCAGGGAGCGCCCAUGGAAGCCCCCGGUGGAUUCUGUUCCUUCUCAGGCCGCCCCUUGUGGCUUUCUAAGGGGCUCCUUCCUGCUGUGAGCUCACGUCGCCUUUACUCUGUGCUGCUGCUCCCCUGGUGUCUCUGCAGCGCCGGCAUCCCAUAUGGGCACCGGUUCGAGUCCCGGCUGCUCCUCUUCCGAUCCAGCUCUCUGCUGUGGCCUGGGAAAGCAGUGGAAGCUGGCCCAAAUGCUUGGGCCUCUGCACCCAUGUGGCAGACUGGGAAGCUUCUGGCUUUGGAUCAGCCCAGUUUCAUUUUGGCCAUUUGGGGAGUGAACCUAAUCUCAUCUUUUAAGGGCACCGUUCAGAGUGGGCUAGGUCACACUGAUGGCCUUGGUCACACUGAUGGCCUUGGUCACACUGAUGGCCUUAUGUGAACAUGAGCCCCUUUUUAAAGACCUAACUCCUGUUUUAAUCACACCCCGAAGGACUGGAGGCAGGACUGCGGCAGGACUUCCGGCAACUGCCCAACACAGUGGCAACCAAGACGCUGUUGUGUGAAUGGUGGAUCUAUGGGUGUGACAAUAGAAUGACAUCCUGGAAAACCAAAAAAGAAAACUCCAGUGGGCAGCAAACGAAAUUGUGUUGCACCUCACUAGAAUUAAAAAACAAAACCAAACCAAGAAUCCGACAGUGAGGUGCCAUCAUGCGCCUGAGAAAUGGCCAGGGUCGCAGGGAAGGGACAGCAGCCACCUGGGGGAGUGCACACAUGUGGAAGCUUUCGUUUCUUUUUCUUCUUUCUUUUCUUUUCUUUUUAAGAUGUAUUUAUUUACUUCAAAGGCAGAAUGACAGAGACAGAUCUUCCAUCUGCUGGUUCACUCCUCAAACAUUCACAACAGCCAGGGCUGGGCCAGGCAAAAGCCAGGAGCCUGGAACUCCAGCUGGGUCUCCCACAGGAUGGCAGAGGCCCAAGGACAUGGGACAUCUUUGCUGCUUUCCCAGGCUGUAAGCAGGGAGCUGGAUCAGAAGAGGAGCAGUCGGGAUUCGAACCGGCACCCAUUUGGAAUGCCAGUGUUACAGAUGCUGCUUAACUCACUACACCACAGUGCUGCCCCUAAGCUUUUUCAUUUCAUUUCAUUUUCAGUCCUUGGAACACACCUUCUCCAAGGCACCUUAGCAUGGUGUUCUUUUCAAAGUACAGUGUUCCGCUGGUGGGCAGGUGGCCUUCGAGAAGUGACUUGAAAGCUAAUUGUUAGUCAAGUGCGGAGGGAGAGGGGAGUGAAUGGGGCAGAAAGAACAGUCUGUAUGAAGGGUGCACCGUGCCUGCAAAAGAGCAGGCGGGGAGGCCCCCGGCCAAGCUGCCCAUCAGACCAAGCGUGAACGUACUCCGUCCUAGGCCCCGACCAUUCUACCAUCUACCACACCUAGUGCAUCACCCCGCGUUCAUUUUCAUGACCUAAAAUGAUCAGUAUUUACACAAGUUGUUCUUGUCCCCACUCAACAGGAGCAGGAGUUUGACCUCCACACUAGUGGCAGUCAUAAGCCAUCGGAGGAACUGAAGCAGGAAGAAGUAUGGCCAGAUUUGCAUGUUGGAAACAUGGCCCAGGCUGCCAUGGGCAGACUCCCAGGAGGGGUAGCAAAGUGGAGGCAGCGAGGUCCAUGGGGAGGCCAUUGUAUCCCCAGGCCAGGCCAUAGUGGCCAAGCCAGGGGCCAAGGGAAGCACAUGGAACAUGGAGAAGCAUGGGAGUCCGCGCCAACACACCUGGGGUACGUUAGACCUGGGGGAGAGGGGAGCAGGAAGUGGGGUGACAUCCAGCUUGGGGCUAGAGCACUUGGAUGGUGGUGCUAUGUCCCCAGGAGAAAAGGAACCGGAGAAGGAGUCUGGGGACAAGAAGGUGAGUUCAAGGCCGGCACCGCGGCUCACUAGGCUAAUCCUCCGCCUUGCAGCGCCGGCACACUGGUUCUAGUCCCAGUCGGGGCGCUGGAUUCUGUCCCGGUUGCCCUUCUUCCAGGCCAGCUCUCUGCUGUGGCCAGGGAGGGCAGUGGAGGAUGGCCCAAGUGCUUGGGCCCUGCACCACAUGGGAGACCAGGAGAAGCACCUGGCUCCUGGCUUCGGAUCAGCACGGUGCACCGGCCAUUGGAGGGUGAACCAACAGCAAAGGAAGACCUUUCUCUCUCUCACUGUCCACUCUGCCUGUCAAAAAAAAAAAAAAAAAAAAAAAAAAAGAAGAAGAAGAAGGUGAGUUCCAUCUUAGAAGUGCUGAGUGUGAAGUCCUGAGACAGCCUCACAGAGAAGUCUCCAGUGCCUGUAGAUACACUGUAGAAGGUCCUUUCUAAAAACCAGAGGCCAAAGCCAACAGUUGAGAUGAGAUUGCCCAAGAAGCGUGUUAGGCCACCCAGGACCUGUCCAUCCAACGCCAACCUCAUAGCUGCGGUCACUCAGCCCACAGCCACAGAAAUCGGCAGAGAUCAUGUGGCCACCUAAAUGUGGGCAGUCUUCCGUGUUUCGGGGUGUUCCAGCACCGUGGGAGCUGGGCACGGUCCCUGGGUAGGACUGAUGCUGAGGGAAAGGCUAGCUCAAAGAUCUAAGAUCCCAAAAGUAAAGAAAGCGUCUUCUGUGGCUGGCCUUCCCCACUUGGUCUUCUUCUCUUUCCAACACUGGCACCACCUGCACUCCACUGGAAGGGGAACAAUGUCUUUCUCUUAGUCAGAUGUGUGGACAAACAAUUUCCCAGAGGCUGAUGCUGUGUCGUAGUAGGCUAAACCUCCACCUGUGGCACCGGCAUCUCAUAUGGGAGCCGGUUCAUGUCCUGGCUGCUCCUCUUCUGAUCCAGCUCUCUGCUAUGGUCUGGAAAAGCAGUGGAAGAUGGCCCAAGUCCUUGGGCUCCUGAACCCACAUGGGAGACCCGGAAGAAGAUCCUGGCUCCUGGCUUCAGAUUGGCCCAGCUCUGUUUUGGCCAUUUGGGGAGUGGACCAGCAGAUGGAAGACCUUUCUCUGUCUCUCUGUUGUAAUUCUGCCUCUCAAAUAAAUAAAUAAAAUAUUAAAAAAAAUUUUUUCCCCAGUUCACCACUUUUGACUUCGUUCAGAGUAUU